ACCCCCGAUUCUUUUUCCGUCGAGCCGCCUCGAUCACCAUCCAUUUCUCAUCGACUUUCGCGGUCGUUGUGGCUGUUCGGUGUAGAAGGUGGUGGUUGACACGGUUGUGGUUGAUGGACUAAUGUUAGAGAAUGAAAUGGAAAAAAAAAAGUUAGUAAGGGCAAUAUCGUCAGUUUGCUUGAAAUGAUGGCGGUGACGAUAAAUUUUAACGGCGGUAUUUAACACCCCAAAAAAAAAUAUAAUAAAAUCUUCCGUUUAGUUGCAAAGACGGGAACGGGUAUUUUUUUGGGGGGUGGGGGGAAUUUUGCGCCAAAAUGCUGCUGAGGUCAUUGCUUUCCCAAAAUUGAAAGAAAAGGAAGAGAGAGAAAGCUUCAAUCUUCAACUCUUCAACCAAAACUUCAACAAAAAUACAAAGAACGAUGAAUCUAAGUUUUCAAGCUGCAAAACUUAGGACUAUGGCAAGUUUUCGAUUUUUUUAUUUUAUCAGUUUUUUACAAAAAUGUGGUAGCUAGGGAUUUGGGUUUGUUUUAGGUUCGGUCAUUUUGGAUAGAUGAAUUUAGGGUUUUUGGAAAUUUUUGAUUUUGGUGUUUGAUUUUUCUGUUUUUGUUUGAUGUUUUACCAUUUAGAGCUAUGAUUUGAAGUUUCGAAAGUUUGGUUUUUGUGAUAAUGGGGUCAUUUUGAUUUAUUUUUAAUUGUCAGUCUCGUUGAUUUUAGCCUGUUCGAGCUUAAUAGUGAUGGGUUUUUUUCACUUCAAUUUGAAUUCUUUUAGGGACAUUUCUGGGUAUUAUGUUUCUUGGACUUGAAAUUAUUGCUUUAUUAAGAAAUGGAGAUCAACUUUUAUGGUUUCCGACAUAAGCUUGGAUAUUUGAUUUAAGAAUUCUAAUGAGUGAUGUUCACCAAGUGUGAGCUGAUUUUCUCAAUUGUACAAGUCUCGUUUCCGUGAGUCAUUUUUAUGUUAAAUGAUUAAAUUUGAUUGUUGAGCUUUACUGUGUGAUGGCUGAAUUAGUGUUUCUAGAGGAGAUAAUAUACUGUACGAUAUCCAAGCAUCUUUUUUGCUGACCAUAAUCAAAGUGUGAUUUUAUGAUCUUUUGUUCUUGAGUUAUAAUGUUUCCUGUUCUUGAGAUUAUAUAAACUAAUUCUAAAUCUUGUGGAAUAUAUUGUAUUGUUUUAUUUAGAUUAAUGUGUAUGCUACUAUAAAUGUUGGUUCUUAUGUUAGUUUGACUUUUGAGUGAGGUAGAAUGGUGGCAUAGAUUUGACUUGAGAUAUUAUGGAAUGAUUAUCUUUGAUGAUUAGUUUAAGGAUUAGGAUAGACCUGGCUACUCUAUCAACUUAUUUCGGGUAAAAAAAAUUAGGUAAUUGAUGAGCACUAGCUUGUAUGUCAACUUAGAGGGGAGCUAGGAUAAACUGAAUCUACAGCUUGUAUGUCAAAGUCCAGACAUAGUAGGGCAUGUUGUAUGUGUUAGUUAGAGGAAUUCAGAUCUUAUUUUCUUGUUCUAAUAUUAUUGGUAGCUAGAUACUAGUACACUCUGGAGCUAGUAGAAGUCCUGCUAAGCAGGGGGAUGGAAUUGGAGUUGUAUCCUAAAUCUGUUAAAUCUAAGCUGAAGAUGAAAACGUAGGCGCAUAUGCGAAAUGGGGUGCUUAAGAAGCUCAAUAAGAAAAGAAAUUGGAAUUCUCUUCUUUGGUAGUGAGCCCUGGCAAGCAGCUGCUGAAGCAAUCAGAUCAGAAAAGGAAGGCUGAAUCCAUCAGAAGGAGAUUGAUUCAUAAACCAGAUGUUUCCGAAGGCCAUCGAGUUGAUUCUUCUAAGAAGAAGAAUUGUGAAGAGAGUCGGGGUGAUCGAUCUUUAUGCUCAAGUUCUAAAGGUACCGGAGAAAAGAGCCCAAUUGGUUGAACGUUCUUCAGCUGCAAGGAUCCCUACAAUGUGGGGGCCUUUCACAGCUUAUUGUUACAAGUCAAACCUGGAUGGCAUAUGAUCGUCCCAUUGCCACGACUCGUGUUGUUCGGAAAUCCGUGGAUAAAAAGGUUCCCGGAAUCUUGAAGUUGAGCUGCUACGAAACCAGCUGUAGGAUGAGUGACAUUGGAUGACCAAACAGUCUGAUAUUUUUGCAUCAGAGACUUGCAGAUUUCCGUCGAGUGAUAUCUUAAGUACACCCGAAGUAUCAGUGAGGGGAUUGUUCCUGUUAGCUAUCCAUACAAGAUACAACUUCCAUUUCAGAAGGGUGAUUAUACUAUACCAGAUUCCAACAUAACGAUUGGAAGAGUUUUGAGGGCUGAAAAAUCCUAGCUUGAAAAUGCUAUUUUUAGAAAGCAUUGAUUCUGAGUCUUUUAGGAAUUGUGUUGGUGUAAUACUGUCAAUUGCAGAGUAGAUUUUAGAACUGAAAAGAAGAGUGUAUGGAAUUAAUGCAAAAAUAGGUAUCAUUCUUUGCUUAAUUGAUUAUAUCAUGGAACAUUUGGCAAUUUAGAGAUAAUAUAAGGGCUCUGAAGGUAA